GCGGGCUGCAUUACCACCGGGAACAGUCCUCGCUCACAGCACGUAUCGUGAAUAACUACCUUCAAAGCCUAAUCGAAAUAACUACAGGGCGGGCAGAAUGCGCGACGUUGCUCGAACUACGCUUUAUUUGCUCUUUGUUUUCCACCUGACCAAUGUGGUUAUCGUUCAUACGCAAAGUGACCGACCUGAAGAUACACUCCUUGGUUCGCUCGUCAAUUGCACGGACAUCCGACAGGCAUUCAACAUGACCAACAUAUACUGGUUAUUUGGCUUCAACUUUCAUAGCAAUCAUAGCGAAACAAGAAGGUGUAUUUACUUCAGAGUAUAUGACCUUAAUAAUGAGUCAAUGAAUUACUCGAGUAACUUCAUAAAGGACAACCGAACCGCACAAGCCACGUCAAGCCGAGUCUUCGAGCUUUCUGCAUGCAACCUAGAUAUCUGGAAUAUAUGUCAAAAAUAAAAGGUGCUUUUACUUGG